rnacentral:misc_RNA from 1 species
GUGAAUCAUCAAAUCUUUGAACGCAAAUUGCACUAUCUUCGUAGAGUAUGCGUGUUUGAGGGUUAGCCUAAAGAAAAUCGCUAUAGUUACUGUUACGCGGUAACAUUCGUCGGAAGUUGGGUCAUCUUAUACUUUUGGGUUGAAGAGGUUUACAAUUUUAUUUACGAUUAGAAGAAAGUUUCUAAGAUUUUAUUUUCUUAUAUGUUUGAGGUAUCGAUCUUUAUUAGAUGUGGCCGUUGCAUCGGGUAUCUGUCAUAAAUAUUUCGUUAUAU